AACUAAUUAAAAUAAAAAACAUAUUACCACUAUUUCUCUAAAAAAACGCGUCGCUUUUGAAAUGGCGAUGAAGCUAAUAACCUCUUAAAAAAACCAUAAAAUAAAAAAUAAUAUACAUAACACUAGGAAAUGACAUACGCCGCUUCUAAAUGUUGAGAAGGUAAAGCUAGUGACCUCUUAACAAGUCGAUGACGGUGUAGAAACGAUAAAAUGAAUCAAUAGCCGGAGAUGAGAGCAAGCUAGAACAAGCAACUCCAAAUGAAGAACACAGCAAAAGAGUGAAGAUCGAUGGGCUCGGCCACGGGAAGAAGAGUUCAAAUAUGGGGAGGGAUAUUUAAUCCCGGUUCUUUUUAAAAACUGGGACUAAAUUCCAACACUAGUCUCGGCCGGUGGGACGGACCGGGACAAAAGCUUUUAAUC
rnacentral:lncRNA from 1 species